GCUUACGGCCAUACACCCUGAACACGCCGAUCUCGUCUGAUCUCGGAAGCUAAGCAGGGUCGGGCCUGGUCAGUACUUGGAUGGGAGACCCUGGAAUACCAGGUGCUGUAAGCU
rnacentral:rRNA from 1 species